CAAGGAGCCAAGCUUGGAAUUGUCAUCUUUGCAAUGAAAAACAUCUUUUCUUGGAAAAGGACUUCAGUCAGCAAGGUUACUUUCUUGAGUUUACAACCGCUUCAGACUUGGAUCUUUGCCCUCAGGAAGUCAAAGGCUUUUCUUACAACCAUCGGAUUAAGUGCAUAUGGAAGAUGGCGUUAAGGCUUCAGUUAGCAGCUUUCCUCAUCCCUAAUGAUUUUGUGCUUUUCAGGCAUGGCCAUGUAGCAAAACACAACUUCUAACAACUUCCCAACAGCUCCACAUUGCAUUGAGCAUUCCUAGCAAAGGAUGAUGUUACUCACAGCCUGAUGGUCCCAGAAGCCACAGAGCCUAUUUCAGGAGAGCCUGGAAGAGUAUCCCCACUUCACAGCCCCCUGGAGCUCUGCACUACCAACACUCACACCAGUAGGAAGAUGGAGUUUCCUUUAAUUCCCUGGACAACAGGCAUAUACUGACCUUUCCAAAUGGUCUCUAAAAAGAAAGUAAACAGAAAAAAAAGGAAUAUGGAAAUGUGACUACACUUUUUGAUCUGAAACAAGAGCAAUCUGAAAAAAUGUCUCGGGGAGCCAAAUUCAGCAGCCCCUCAGCAGGUGCUCUGCCGUGGCUCUGUGCAAGGGGCCUGUUCAGUGUCAGAGAAGUUUGAUCUUCCCCAGAGCCAUGCGAAGCCCAGAGGGAUGGCAGGCCUGGCACUGAGGACAUGGGCACACCACGCUGUGCACAGUGACAGGACACGCUGCUGGCUCUGUGCAAGCUGGGAAUGCCCUCACCUGCUCUGGGCUUUUUUUGGAAGCUGCUGCACACCAAACCAAUGGGUCUGGAACAGUCAGCAAGGACUUCGGGAUGGUUUUGUGUGUGUUGUAACUCCCCGUUCUCCUAUCACCAUUACUGAAUUACCUCUGAAUUUACCAUCUUUCAACAGCACUGCAGAAAGGAUGGAUUGGCUGUGUUGUUCUAAUUCAUCUUAGCAGUCAGAUCAGAGUAACAUCAAUGGACUCUCGGGUCCUCUCUGGUCUCCUUGGCUAAGCAGAGAACCCUGUGUGUAGUUAAGUUUCCAGACAUGCUGGGGC